rnacentral:rRNA from 1 species
AGGGAAUAUUGCGCAAUGGGCGAAAGCCUGACGCAGCGACACCGUGUGAAGGAUGAAGGUCUUCGGAUCGUAAACUUCUGUCAAUUGGGGACGAAGGUAAUAAGGUUAAUAGCCUUUAUUAUUGACGGUACUCAAUAAGGAAGUCUCGGCUAACUCCGUGCCAGCAGCCGCGGUAAGACGGAGGAGGCAAGCGUUGUCCGGAAUCAUUGGGCGUAAAGAGCGCGUAGGCGGUUUUUCAAGUCAUAUGUGAAAACUUCAGGCUUAACCUGAUGAUUGCAUAUGAAACUGGAUAACUUGAGUACAGCAGAGGAAAGUGGAAUUCCUGGUGUAGCGGUGAAAUGUGCAGAUAUCAGGAAGAACACCAGUGGCGAAGGCGGCUUUCUGGGCUGUUACUGACGCUGAGGCGCGAAAGCUAGGGGAGCGAACAG